rnacentral:rRNA from 1 species
AGUGGGGAAUAUUGCGCAAUGGGGGAAACCCUGACGCAGCAACGCCGCGUGAGCGAUGAAGGCCUUCGGGUCGUAAAGCUCUGUCUAGAGGGAUGAAAAAAAUGACAGUACCUCUAGAGGAAGCCCCGGCUAACUACGUGCCAGCAGCCGCGGUAAUACGUAGGGGGCAAGCGUUGUCCGGAAUUACUGGGCGUAAAGGGCACGCAGGCGGCCUUAUAAGUCAGAUGUGAAAGUCCUAAGCUCAACUUAGGAAUUGCAUUUGAAACUAUAGGGCUUGAGUGCAGGAGAGGAGAGCGGAAUUCCUAGUGUAGCGGUGAAAUGCGUAGAUAUUAGGAAGAACACCAGUGGCGAAGGCGGCUCUCUGGACUGUAACCGACGCUGAGGUGCGAAAGCGUGGGGAGCGAACAGGAUUAGAUACCCUGGUAGUCCACGCCGUAAACGAUGAGUGCUAGGUGUUGGGGGUCGAACCUCAGUGCCGCAGUUAACACAUUAAGCACUCCGCCUGGGGAGUACGACCGCAAGGUUGAAACUCAAAGGAAUUGACGGGGGCCCGCACAAGCAGCGGAGCAUGUGGUUUAAUUCGAAGCAACGCGAAGAACCUUACCAGGACUUGACAUCAUCUGACAACCCAAGAGAUUGGGCUUUCCCUUCGGGGACAGAUAGACAGGUGGUGCAUGGUUGUCGUCAGCUCGUGUCGUGAGAUGUUGGGUUAAGUCCCGCAACGAGCGCAACCCUUAUUUUUAGUUGCCAUCAGGUUAAGCUGGGCACUCUAGAGAGACUGCCAAGAGAAACUUGGAGGAAGGUGGGGAUGACGUCAAAUCAUCAUGCCCCUUAUGUCCUGGGCUACACACGUGCUACAAUGGUCUGUACAAAGGGUAGCGAAACCGCGAGGUGAAGCCAAUCCCAAAAAGCAGAUCCCAGUUCGGAUUGCAGGCUGCAACUCGCCUGCAUGAAGUUGGAGUUGCUAGUAAUCGCGGAUCAGAAUGCCGCGGUGAAUGCGUUCCCGGGCCUUGUACACACCGCCCGUCACACCACAGAGAGUUGGCAACACCCGAAGUCGCUGAGCUAACCGCAAGGGGCAGGCGCCUAAGGUAGGAUCAAUGACUGGGGUG